GACAUAGCUCAGUGGUAGAGCAAUCGGCUGUUAACCGAUCGGUCGUAGGUUCGAACCCUACUGUC
rnacentral:tRNA from 1 species